rnacentral:rRNA from 1 species
GUCUUUUAGAAUUUAAUUUAAAGUUUAACCUGCCCAAUGAUUUAUUUUAAUGGCCGCAGUAUUUUGACUGUGCAAAGGUAGCAUAAUAAUUAGUUUUUUAAUUGAAAGCUGGAAUGAAAGGUUGGACGAGAAAGUUACUGUCUCUAUAUUAAUUUUUUAGAAUUUUAUUUUUAAGUAAAAAAGCUUAAAUUAAUUUAAAAGACGAGAAGACCCUAUAGAGUUUUAUUAAUUUGUUAAAUAAAAAUUUAUAUAGAAUUUUUUUUAUUUUUUAUUAAAUAAUUAAUUUAAUUGGGGUGAUUGAAAAAUUUAAUUAACUUUUUUAUUGUUUUAACAUUAAUUUAUGAUAUAUUGAUCCAUUUAUUUAUGAUUAUAAGAUUAAAUUACCUUAGGGAUAACAGCAUAAUUUCUUUUUAGAGUUCUAAUCGAUAAAGAAGUUUGUGACCUCGAUGUUGGAUUAAAAUUAAUUUUUGGUGUAGAAGCUAAAAUAUUAGGUCUGUUCGACCUUUAAAAUUUUACA